UCAUCCCAGUAACCCCAUUAUGUAUUCCCUUGUUUUCUCUCUUCGACUUUGGUGGAAUCAACAUAUUUUUCCCCAAAUCAUAUUAUACGUAUCACAUUUUAGAUUUGGAAGCAGCAUCAGGCGAUCACGCAUUAAAAGGAGUAUCUAUGACCUCGGUGGCGAAGUUGAUCCGAACAUCUCAAACAUCCGCAGUGUAACUAGGGAUCUUAAAGGAAACAACGACAUGUGAUUGUGUGCAGCGAGGUUGUUGAUCUCCAAUGAGAAACGGUAUCGAUCAAAUGGCGGAGGGAAGGGACGUCCGUGAGAUCCAGUCUAGCAACUGUUCAAUUCUCACCUCCCUCAACCUAAAAUCGUUUCUAAAGGGGUGAUGACAUGCGUAACUCAAGAAGUGAAGGAUAUGUAUCAUGUUCUAGAAAAAUGAAUUUUUGCCUUUCGAUUUGGCAUCAAAAGUACAGCCUUUGUUGACAAAGUUUGCAAAACUUGGGGGAAAGAUAUCUUCAACAUCUUAUGUACCAGAAGUGCAACUUUCUUAGUACAUUUUUGCUUUACCUUAAGACUCCUACAACAGGUAUGAUUAAUUUCUUGUUUGACAGAUAAAUAGGUUGAAGCCUGCCUAAUAAUUUGAAUUUCCAUAUCAUGUGUCUCAAGUGUACCAAACAAUGACAGUUGAGACUUUAUAAAAAAUGGUUCAUUUCUUUCACUUCUCAGUUGUAGAGAGGAUCUCUGUAGAUGCUGUCAAGCAUAAUUUCAUUGCUAUGAAAGUUGACCACAUGAAGGGUGUAAUUAUAUUUGGUGACUUGUUGGGUCUAAUUUGCAUAAUUUUGUUGAUUCUCUCUCUCUCUUUUUUUAAUUUAUUUAUAUUUAUAUUGUCUACUUGUUUUUUUCUCAAGGGUUUUGAAUCCGACACCCUGUAAGACCACUUGAGUGUUUUGGCUAUAAAUCUGAACAAAUCAAGGUCCCUGGUCUAUCCUUCUCAAUCCAAAGCAUCAAAUUUAAGUGCUAUGCUUCCAAGCUAGGCAGAUAUUGUUGAUAGAGAGCACAAAAAGCUUCUAGCUCGCAAAUCCAUCACUGAAAAAUGCAAGGAAGAACAAGAAUGCCACCUUCUUGAAAUGGAAUGAGAAGAGGAGACAAAAAGAAUAAAGCUAUAGAAGAAAACCGAAGAAGCAAAACAAAAAAGACUUGCAACCAAGUUUAAAGAACGGAAGCACCAACGCAUGCUCAGAUAAAUUGAGGAACGGGAGUGUGAAGAAGCACAAACAUUACUUAAUGAUGUUGGGAAACAUAUCAAAAAGAAAGGAAAGAAGCCCAUCAUUGAAGGGGAGAAGGUGACGAAGCAAUCCUUGAUGGAGUUGGCAAUGCAAGAGCAAGUUAGACAGAGGCAGGAAAUGGAAAAGAAGAUGCAAAAACUAAUGCGAUCAUUUUGAAAGAGCCAAAAGGGAAGAGGUUGCUCCUCUCAUUGAAGCUGCUUUUGAAAGAUGUUUGGCUGAAGAGAAACUCCGCCAUGAACAUGAACAACAGCUUGAGAUUGAACUGAGCAGAGAGCGUCAUGAAGGAGAAGUAUAGACUUGCUCGUGUUAUGGAACAUAAGAUGGAACUUGAGGAAAAAGUUAUGAGCAGGCGAAAGGCAGAGUAUGAUAGAAUGAGAGCUAAGAGAGAGGAAAGACUUGGCCAAAUCCUCAAGGCAUGAAAAGAGGAAAGGGACCUAAAAUGGAAAAUGUUGUUUUAUUUAAAGACUGAAAAAAGAAAGGCUCAACUUAGGGGCCCGCAAACAGGAGGAAGAAGAAGCCCACAAACGUGAAGGGCUAAGUUGUAUAGGACUUGUUAUGUUGAUGGGACGUAAUAGUGGGUUUACUUUUAUUGCAAUGCAUGUGACUCUUGCAAGCCCAUAUGUUGAUUAUUGUUUGAUCCCUGAGUCGCGGGGUCACCUUGCUAUCUUGAAGGACAUGGUGGUUUUUUGAAUAUAUAGAGAAAAGAAUAAAAGAAAACGUGCCUAUGGUAAUUGUUGUAGCAACAGGUGCAUGAAAAGAAUUUGUGGCUGAGAGCUUAAGAGCCACCAACAACAAGGAUGCCUAUGGGCAUGAUGGUCUUUUAGCCACCAACAACAAGGAUGCCUAUGGGCAUGAUGGUCUUUUAGCCACCAACAACAAGGUCUUUUAGACGACAUUAGCUUGUGAUACCUAAGUUUUGUGACAGUUUGAAACUCUUUUUAAUGAAUGAUAGAAUAUUAUGUAUCAGAUAACAUUUUAUGUUUAAUUUGUAGCAUUAUGAUGUAUUGAAUAUUAUUAUAGUUUCGAUAGAAAUACUAAUUUUAGUUUUAUAUUAA